UACAGAGGCCUCAAGCGUUGUUCGGAAUUACUGGGCGUAAAGGGAAUGUAGGCGGUGACGUAAGUCAGGUGUGAAAGCCCCGAGCUUAACUUGGGAAGUGCACUUGAUACUGCGUUGCUAGAGUGUGAGAGAGGAGAGCGGAAUUCCAGGUGUAGGGGUGAAAUCCGUAGAUAUCUGGAGGAAUACCGAUGGCGUAGGCAGCUCUCUGGCUCAUAACUGACGCUGAGAUUCGAAAGCGUGGGUAGCAAACAGG
rnacentral:rRNA from 1 species